UACGUAGGGUGCAAGCGUUAAUCGGAAUUACUGGGCGUAAAGCGUGCGCAGGCGGCUAUGCAAGUCAGAUGUGAAAUCCCCGGGCUCAACCUGGGAACUGCAUUUGUGACUGCAUGGCUGGAGUACGGCAGAGGGGGAUGGAAUUCCGCGUGUAGCAGUGAAAUGCGUAGAUAUGCGGAGGAACACCGAUGGCGAAGGCAAUCCCCUGGGCCUGUACUGACGCUCAUGCGCGAAAGCGUGGGGAGCAAACAGG
rnacentral:rRNA from 1 species